rnacentral:rRNA from 1 species
AUGAUACAAACAACCCAUAAGAGAAAGCUACCUUUGGUGGCCCUCAAGUUGGAUUUUCAGAAGGCCUUUGACACGGUCAGCUGGCCUUGCCUCUUCAGCAUUCUCUCUUCUAGAGGCUUUCCUCGAUGCUGGAGGUGUUGGAUAGAAUCCCUACUUUCUACAGCAACUUCUAAAGUUCUGCUGAAUGGAGAGUUGGGG